rnacentral:lncRNA from 1 species
ACUUCGCCUUGUCCUUCCUAAUACGCCACGAGGCAUGGUAGUCUCAAACAGCCUGCACCCAAGCCUCGUGCCGAAAGUUUUGAAGUAGGCGGCGACAUUCGGUUUCGAUAACAUUUGUCGCGUCCUCCUCGUAUCUCUCCUCACACCUAUAGUAGUCUGCAAACGAGACAACACCGAUUAGUACAAUAACUAGCUAUGGUUGAUUUGUAAUUGUGUAAAGGAGAAAUUACCCAGAACUGUCGGAUUACCAUGUCGGCCCUCGUG